rnacentral:rRNA from 1 species
UUCCACAAAAUUGAUUUGUGUUAACACUGGUUACUCACUGAAGCAAAGCAGGCCUGAGCCGGGUCAGUACUUGGAUGGGAGACCACAUGGGAAAACUGGGUUGCUGUUGGAA